rnacentral:rRNA from 1 species
GACGAACGCUGGCGGCGUGCCUAAUACAUGCAAGUAGAACGCUGAAGGAGGAGCUUGCUUCUCCGGAUGAGUUGCGAACGGGUGAGUAACGCGUAGGUAACCUGCCUGGUAGCGGGGGAUAACUAUUGGAAGCGAUAGCUAAUACCGCAUAAUAGCAGUUAUUGCAUGAUAACUGUUUGAAAGGUGCAAUUGCACCACUACCAGAUGGACCUGCGUUGUAUUAGCUAGUUGGUGGGGUAACGGCUCACCAAGGCGACGAUACAUAGCCGACCUGAGAGGGUGAUCGGCCACACUGGGACUGAGACACGGCCCAGACUCCUACGGGAGGCAGCAGUAGGGAAUCUUCGGCAAUGGACGGAAGCCUGACCGAGCAACGCCGCGUGAGUGAAGAAGGUUUUCGGAUCGUAAAGCUCUGUUGUAAGAGAAGAACGAGUGUGAGAGUGGAAAGUUCACACUGUGACGGUAUCUUACCAGAAAGG